rnacentral:rRNA from 1 species
UACGUAGGGUGCGAGCGUUAAUCGGAAUUACUGGGCGUAAAGCGUGCGUAGGCGGUCCCGCAAGUCCGCUGUGAAAGCCCCGAGCUUAACUUGGGAACUGCAGUGGAAACUAUGGGACUUGAAUCCGGCAGAGGGGGGUGGAAUGGCCACGUGUAGCAGUGAAAUGCGUAGAGAUGUGGCGGAACACCGAUGGCGAAGGCAGCCCCCUGGGCUGAGAUUGACGCUCAGGCACGAAAGCGUGGGGAGCAAACAGG